ensembl:lncRNA
ACCUGUGCAAUAUCAUUUAAAUGUAAAAAAAAUACAGGCCCCACAGUGAGAUUACAUUUUUUAUUUUAUUUUUGAUGACAGACUCACUUCUCCUUGGCAUGGAGGAUACCAGUCUUGCACACAUUUCUGGAAAGAUGUUCUGUCAUUCUUCAGAGAUUUCUGUGUCAGUGAUCAGAGGUGUGUUCAGUGUUCGAGUUUCUACUUUGAGGCCUGUAUUUUCAGAAAUCCUGAAUGUCAUGAGGUGGAAGUGUGCUUUUGAGGUGGAAUAAUGGGUGCCGUGAAGCUCCUGGUACCGUCUCAUGCCGUGCCACUGAUGGACAGAUAUUGGAUUUGCUUGAGGAUGCCUCGUUUUGAAAUCCAGCAGACAGCAGAGCUUUGGAAAGGAGGGGCUGUGUAAUUAGUGUGAGUGUUUAAUUAGGUUGUGGGCUUAGAUUGCGCUGAGUGCUAUUGAGAUGGAUUACAUUGUUGACCUUUAAAGGCUUGUGGCUUUAAUUGACUGAAGCCAUAACAGCUAGGAUGCUUAGUUUCUUAAAUGGCG